AGCGAACGCUGGCGGCAGGCCUAACACAUGCAAGUCGAACGAACUCUUCGGAGUUAGUGGCGGACGGGUGAGUAACACGUGGGAACGUGCCUUUUGGUUCGGAAUAACUCAGGGAAACUUGUGCUAAUACCGAAUGUGCCCUUCUGGGGAAAGAUUUAUCGCCAUUAGAGCGGCCCGCGUCUGAUUAGCUCGUUGGUGAGGUAACGGCUCACCAAGGCGACGAUCAGUAGCUGGUCUGAGAGGAUGACCAGCCACACUGGGACUGAGACACGGCCCAGAAUCCUACGGGAGGCAGCAGUGGGGAAUCUUGCGCAAUGGGCGAAAGCCUGACGCAGCCAUGCCGCGUGAAUGAUGAAGGUCUUAGGAUUGUAAAAUUCUUUCAACGGGGACGAUAAUGACGGUACCCGGAGAAGAAGCCCCGGCUAACUUCGUG
rnacentral:rRNA from 1 species